rnacentral:rRNA from 1 species
CGAACGGGUGAGUAAUACAUAAGUAACCUGCCCUAGACAGGGGGAUAACUAUUGGAAACGAUAGCUAAGACCGCAUAGGUACGGACACUGCAUGGUGACCGUAUUAAAAGUGCCUCAAAGCACUGGUAGAGGAUGGACUUAUGGCGCAUUAGCUGGUUGGCGGGGUAACGGCCCACCAAGGCGACGAUGCGUAGCCGACCUGAGAGGGUGACCGGCCACACUGGGACUGAGACACGGCCCAAACUCCUACGGGAGGCAGCAUG